UACGGGGGGAGCAAGCGUUGUUCGGAUUUACUGGGCGUAAAGGGCGCGUAGGCGGCCACCGCAAGUCGACUGUGAAAUCUCCGGGCUUAACCCGGAAAGGUCAGCCGAUACUGCGGGGCUAGAGUGCAGAAGGGGCAACUGGAAUUCUCGGUGUAGCGGUGAAAUGCGUAGAUAUCGAGAGGAACACCUGCGGCGAAGGCGGGUUGCUGGGCCGACACUGACGCUGAGGCGCGAAGGCGUGGGGAGCGAACGGG
rnacentral:rRNA from 1 species